rnacentral:sRNA from 1 species
GAUAACAAAGCAACGUGAAAGGUGGACUGAGGAAGAACAUAA